AUUGAACGCUGGCGGCAGGCCUAACACAUGCAAGUCGAACGAGUGGCGGACGGGUGAGUAAUGUCUGGGAAACUGCCUGAUGGAGGGGGCUCACUACUGGAACCGGUCGCUAAUCCCGCAUCCCAUCAGUUGUGCCCAGAUGGGAUUAGCUAGUUGGUGGGGUAACGGCUCACCAAGGCGACGAUCCCUAGCUGGUCUGAGAGGAUGACCAGCCACACUGGAACUGAGACACGGUCCAGACUCCUACGGGAGGCAGCAGUGGGGAAUAUUGCACAAUGGGCGCAAGCCUGAUGCAGCCAUGCCGCGUGUAUGAAGAAGGCCUUCGGGUGGUAAAGUACUUUCAGCGGGGAGGCGUUACCCGCAGAAGAAGCACCGGCUAACUCCGUGCCAGCAGCCGCGGUAAUUC
rnacentral:rRNA from 1 species